CUUCGGGAAACCGGAGCUAAUACCGGAUAAUAUUUUGAACCGCAUGGUUCAAAAGUGAAAGACGGUCUUGCUGUCACUUAUAGAUGGAUCCGCGCUGCAUUAGCUAGUUGGUAAGGUAACGGCUUACCAAGGCAACGAUGCGUAGCCGACCUGAGAGGGUGAUCGGCCACACUGGAACUGAGACACGGUCCAG
rnacentral:rRNA from 1 species